AUACGGAGGGUGCAAGCGUUACUCGGAAUCACUGGGCGUAAAGCGCGCGCAGGCGGUCUUUUAAGUUGGAUGUGAAAGCCUACGGCUCAACCGUAGAACUGCAUCCAAAACUAUUAGACUAGAGUGUGGGAGAGGAAGAUGGAAUUAGUUGUGUAGGGGUAAAAUCCGUAGAGAUAACUAGGAAUACUAAAAGCGAAGGCAAUCUUCUGGAACACUACUGACGCUGAGGCGCGAAAGCGUGGGGAGCAAACAGGAUUAGAUACCCUAGUAGUCC
rnacentral:rRNA from 1 species